GUGCCAGCCGCCGCGGUAAUACGAGGGGUGCAAGCGUUAAUCGGAAUUACUGGGCGUAAAGCGCAUGCAGGCGGUUUGGUCAGUCAGAUGUGAAAGCCCCGGGCUUAACCUGGGAAUUGCAUUUGAUACUGCCAAACUAGAGUCCUUGAGAGGGGGGUAGAAUUUCAGGUGUAGCGGUGAAAUGCGUAGAGAUCUGAAGGAAUACCAGUGGCGAAGGCGGCUCACUGGCUCGAUACUGACGCUGAGGUGCGAAAGUGUGGGGAGCAAACAGGAUUAGAUACCCCGGUAGUCCC
rnacentral:rRNA from 1 species